rnacentral:lncRNA from 1 species
UAGAUUUGUUAUCACAUUUGGAAAUACAAUUGUGGACACUGAUGAUAUACCUUCCUACCAUAGCAGAAGCACAAGACAUCGGGAUAAGAAGUCUUUCUUUUUUGACAUCACCUUGACUCCUUCCCAAAUGGAUUUCAAUUCUGAAUUGGUAAAUUUUAAAUUUAUUCCAAUCCAUGCAUUUAUCACAAUCCAUGUUUUUUUUUUAAAUCACCUUCGCUCCUUUCCGUUGUAACCUAAUUUUCAUUGUUGUCUAAAUGCAGGUGCUUCCACCUCAUUUCAAUGAUUUUCUAUGGAAUGGUGACUUUGAUUAUUUGUAUCUCUCCAAUGACAAUGGUCAAAUUGUCAGGACUACUAUUGAUUACCAAGCAGCUGACUCACUCACAAGCAAG